CCUGAAAAAUUAAAAUUAAUAGUAAAAAAGUAUUAUCAAAUGCCAAUACUGUUUCAUUCAAUUUCGAAACCACCAAGCUCAGCAAAUGGCGGGCCCACCUGACCAGCCAACGUUUUACCACAAAUUCUCGAAUAAAAUCAGUUGUAUAGGUUGUAAAUCAUGAUUGAACAAUAUCAAAAUUGAAUUAUCUUUCCGAUUUUAUGUGUUAUUUCAUUUGUUCAUGCUCAAAACUAGAAUAAAUCGAUGUUGAAUGUAAAACCACUUUUGGUGAUCUUGGUCACACUGUUUCACUGGAUGUAAUGGUUUUCAAAAACAAGACCGAGUCGGCGUCUGAAACGUUCACCAAAAUAUGCAGAAAUGCUGACAUUAUAAGGUGUCAAAGUAUCAAAGCUCAUCUAAUGGGGGAACAUUGUCAAUUUUGCUUCCGAAUCCGAAAGUUGGCAUUUUGGGUACCAAUCAACUCCGAACAAAAAACAUAGAUGCUCGGUAAACAUGGUGGUGAUGGAUUCGCAAAAGGUCUUAAUCAAAAUGAAAAUUUUAUUUUCUUCCCAAGUAUGCAUGUUUUAUUGCAGUUUCGGUGCUAUAAGUUACAUAUUUUUGGUCUAUAAUGUAUCAGCCUCCUUGCUGUUUGAGGUCACACUGUAACAGUUAGUGGCAUAUUACUAAAAAAUAAGACCGAGUCGGCAUCUAUUGAGGGUACUAUAUGUAACAGAAUUUAAUUUUCUAUCUGAUGUUAUAAGUUUCAAAACAUGACUAAUGGGGGAACAUUACGAAAUUCGAUGUUAAAAACUGCUGACCACGAUUUUACACCCACAGCUGCUCACGGUUUCGUGUACUGCAAAUGCUGCUAAUAUAGUUCUGACGCUAGCAGACGCACGUUUUUGCAUUCAAUUGGCUGCCACGGUGUUCCAUGUGAUGAUAGAGAACAUCCCUGGUUUUCGACCUUUCUGUGUUGUGUAUAUUUGUUUAUUAGGCACAUUUCAAUUCAAAUUUGAUUUUGGUUCUCUCACUUCUGCCUGGGUCUUGGAGUUGUGGAUAUAUUUUGUGGAGCGUGGAGCAUCGGAGAUUUGUGGAGUAUUGGAUUGGCCUGGUGUCAGUAUUCUUUGGUGUUUUUUUUAUAGAUAUUUUCAUAGGCUACAAUGCCACCAGGAAGACCACUGACCAAGACCAAGACAGUGCUCAUGCCCGAAUCAUCGGCAACACAGGAUGGCAAACUUCGCCUCCCCUGGCUUGUAUGAAGCCUUGAUUUCCAUUUAAGGAAGUAAGUCUGUGCCCAAAUGGAUGAUGCACGUGUUGGGCAUUUUUGCAAAACAAAGAGGUUGAAAGGGUUCAUUUGCCGAGGCUGUAUGGAGUACGCCAAGCAAUGUCAUGCUGAUGGGGAGACGUGAGUAUGACAAUGAAACAGACUACAAUUCUUGGCGAAAGGGCUAGCAAAAUGCAUCAUUGAGUUUGACAAUUCUGUACCAGUCAUUGUCAAUUAAGCUGGAAAUCUGGGUAACGGUAAAGCUGGGGUCACCGUCAGCAUAUAGGUAUCAGUCGGGCAAGCUGCAGGGAGGUAAUCUAAAAUAAGAUUAAUCUAAUAUAAGAAUAUGACGUCACCCAAAUGGGCUGAGUGAUGACCAUAUAAGGAGUGAUGAUCAAUAUUUAGACUAUAUUUCCGACAUGUCCACAUUUGAACCCUCCACAAUCAUCGAAGAACUGCUCAUAACCACAAUAUUUUUUGUUGACUGACAGACAAAACAUGAUCCUACAAAUUGUGAACUGGCCAGCUCAUUUGAGAUUGGAAUUUGUCACUGGUGACCAAGAUAUUUGGGUAUUAGUAGAGCAGAUGUUACACAGAGGUUUUACAACUGAGGAGAAGUGCUCUUAUGCUUCUUGCUUCCAGAGAUGCUUCUUUUUAACACCAAACCAAACCUUACCUGACAUAAUCUAACCUACAAGUCAGCAUACAACCUAAAACCCUACAACCUACAAACCUACAGCUGUGCCUCUCCUUGGUUGGAAACCCUUCCUAUGAGCAUCCUGCUCUCUUUGUCUAUUUAUCUACUUGGUAAGCAUAAGCGCCUUCAUUUGACAUCUGCUCUACUAGUGCCGUUAAUUUUAAUUUGUAACUUAACCAAACCAAACCUAACCUAACCCAAAGCCUGCUCAUAACUGUGAUAAGUUGCAGUCCUAACUCCUAACAUCACUUUGAUUCUCCUCAGCCAAUUACAUCAAGAGGGAGACCACACUGACAGGGGUCCAAGAUCCAACUCAGGCCCUUUUUACUGCCCGCCAGUGGACGGAGGCCCGGCGACGGACGCUGGCUCAGUGGCCAACAGUGGUCCGCCAGCCGGCUGAUGGUGGCUCGCCGACCGACGCCGGCCCGUCGGCUGACCACGGCAUUCCGGCUGAUGGUGGCCCGCCAGCCGACGGAGGUCCGCCGGCCAUUCGUGGCACGCCCGCUGACGGCAGCUCGACGACACGUCCUGGCUAUGCCACCCCCAAGAUUACUUCGCCCCCCAGUCCAUAGGUCACCAGUUGCGGGCGCUUCAUCUGACGGUGUCGUCCGACGGCUCCACGGUGACCAGCGCCGCCACUGCGGAAACCAUCCGACCCCGAAAAUGCUGCUAGCCGUACACGAACAAAGGGCGCCGGGCACCCAGGACCAGCGCCCUGCUCCGAGGCGGUGUCCAAAGAAGGCUGCACAGUGCACUUGCUGUGCUAAGGCAUAGUGCGCGCUGACUGAUAGGAACAAAUGACGGUCAGUUAUCAGAUUUCAGUAUGGAACUCAAGAUGGUCGGAGCCGACCUGGCUCGGUGGAUGGUGUGCCAGGGUUGAUUAAGUGUCGAAAGGAGUGAGACGCCCAGAUAUGUGAAGGAUACGUCGAUACGAGCCCCGGCUUCGACUCCCCGUCCCAAAACGAUGUUGGUUGUGAUUGGAGGAUUCCCCCACCCCCACCCCCACCCAUCCCGGAAUUUGUGCUAUGUAAUAGGACGAUAAUAUGUCGUGGUCUCAUUCUGGCUCGAUAUGGUAAUAGGUACUUAAUUGGACAGAUGCUGAUGGUAUUGGUGGUGGAUGUAAAUGGCAGGUUUGGCGAGCGCGAAUUAAUAAUCGUGAGUGCACUAGCUGCAAUCAGUCGCGCGCUUAUUGCUGAGCACCUGUGAGCAAGAAAAUUAUAUGAAUGUGGUAGUUCGUCGUGAAAUCUGUGUACUUUUGGAUUAAGCUGUCAGAACAUAAGUGUAUUUUUGCCGUGUCCACUGCAGCUCUGAAACAGAAACAUGGAGAUCGGCUGUGUGCUGUAGCUGCGGGGACAAGAAGUCCGCGCGUGCAAAAAAUCAAAGGUGAUAUGUGAAUUUAAGUGAAUAUACCUCGCUAUAUUUUCAAUUUUAUUAUUACAACAAAUGCGUCGACUGCUGAUUACCCUCGGGUCCUAACAAUAACGUUUGCAAUACUGGAAAGUACAUAGACAAUUGAUACCCUUGCGACCGACUGGCGCGAUCCGAGAAUCUCUCUCACUGUUUUUGCUGACCUACACACGAAAACACGGCCGAAUAGCUACCAUCGAGAGCACGGAACGAUGCUGGUGACUGACGGACCAGCGAAAAUAGAGCUCCCGUCUACUCGCGGAACAGCGCUGAUUGGCGCGGCUCACAGACUCCAUUGGCUCAUCAGAGUUCAGACUGUUGACGGUUGUUGCUCCUCCCUCCCCUCCCCGAGAGGGCGUAGCCAAGUAGCUUAGUUGUGUGCGCAGCGGGCGGUCUUUUUGCAUCUGUGUAACAGUUGAGUGGAUGGUAUCCAGACGAGCUAGGCGUCGGCGUCGCCCUUCCAGCGGCCGGGCAGCGCAGGUGGACGUGCCGCGGAUGGUCCGCCUCCGAUCUCGGCACACUCUGCAGAGUGCGGCUGGACGCUCCACGGAGUUGCAUAGCGUCGAUAGGCCGUAUGGUGUCGCUGUCGUAAUUAUAAAAGCGUAAGUAGAAGGUUGAAGCAAUAUAGAAUGCUAUCUUU
rnacentral:misc_RNA from 1 species